AUGUCCAUCACAGUCAUGCUAGGGGA
rnacentral:piRNA from 1 species